rnacentral:rRNA from 1 species
UGGGGAAUCUUAGACAAUGGGCGCAAGCCUGAUCUAGCCAUGCCGCGUGAGCGAUGAAGGCCUUAGGGUUGUAAAGCUCUUUCAGCGAGGAAGAUAAUGACUGUACUCGCAGAAGAAGCCCCGGCUAACUCCGUGCCAGCAGCCGCGGUAAUACGGAGGGGGCUAGCGUUGUUCGGAAUUACUGGGCGUAAAGCGCACGUAGGCGGACUGGAAAGUCAGGGGUGAAAUCCCGGGGCUCAACCCCGGAACUGCCUUUGAAACUCCCAGUCUUGAGGUCGAGAGAGGUGAGUGGAAUUCCGAGUGUAGAGGUGAAAUUCGUAGAUAUUCGGAGGAACACCAGUGGCGAAGGCGGCUCACUGGCUCGAUACUGACGCUGAGGUGCGAAAGCGUGGGGAGCAAACA